AUAUAUUUUUUUGUAUUCAGAAAUGACUUAUCUUUUUGUUAUAUGUAUGCUGCUAUUUUCUUUCGCUGUGGGGCACACAUUGGGGAGCCUAAUUAGGAGUUUACUGAUGGCGAAGCAACGGCCACAUUUCAAGUUUUGUGUAUGCCUCUUGUUUAAGCGCUUGUGUACUCUAUCAAGGCGCCAGAUGGCCUGCUGGCUGCGUUUUUUUCCUAGUCAUGCGCUUGUGUACUCAUCAUGGCACAAGAUGGCCUGCUGGCUGCCUUUUUUCCUAGUCAUGUUUGCGUGUGCACUGAUAUUUUUUAAUGCGAUGCUGCCACAUAGCUGCCAUUUUUCUGCAUCAUGUUUUUCUUCAUUGCUCCUUUUAA
rnacentral:lncRNA from 1 species